rnacentral:rRNA from 2 species
CACGUAGGGGGCGAGCGUUGUCCGGAUUUAUUGGGCGUAAAGAGCUCGUAGGCGGCUCAGUAAGUCAGGUGUGAAAACUCCAGGCUCAACCUGGAGACGCCACCUGAUACUGCUGUGGCUAGAGUCCGGUAGGGGAGCAUGGAAUUCCUGGUGUAGCGGUGAAAUGCGCAGAUAUCAGGAGGAACACCAGUGGCGAAGGCGGUGCUCUGGGCCGGAACUGACGCUGAGGAGCGAAAGCGUGGGGAGCAAACAGG